CUCCUCUACGCCGUUCUUCUCAACUCUCCUCCCCUCUUCCUUCUUUCAUUCUUUUCGACAGUAUACAAACCAGUAGCUAAAACUUCCAUGGCCAACACUCCUUCAUCCGAAACCCAUACCCAAAACCUCCUUUACCAUCGAAUGACUACUCCAAUGGCCUUGACUCCCACGAGAACACCCACUAACAAGUAAUUAAACCCCAAAUGUCUAAGAUGAAGCCACCGAGACUCUACCCCGUUCACAACUAAGGUAGUGACGAUAUUUGGCAACUUGGUGGCUUAGUGGUGAUUUGGGAGCUUGCUGGUGUUCUUCACGUGGGGAGGCAAUGGG